CAGGGUAUAGCUAAAUAGGAUAGCAUUUCCUUUACACUGAAAAGUCAUUUGUGCAAAUCGAAUUACCCUGA
rnacentral:tRNA from 1 species